rfam:Staphylococcus aureus subsp. aureus NCTC 8325, complete genome.
CGCACACACUAGGGGUGUUUUAUACUGAGAUGAGGCUUGCCCUCAAACCCUUUGAACCUGAUCUAGCUUGAACUAGCGUAGGAAAGUGUUACUAUACAUAU